AUUGAACGCUGGCGGCAGGCCUAACACAUGCAAGUCGAGCGAGCGGCGGACGGGUGAGUAAUGUAUGGGGACUGCCUGAUAGCGGGGGAUAACUACUGGAAACGGUAGCUAAUACCGCAUACUAUCGGAUAACCCAUAUGGGAUUAGCUUGUAGGUGGGGUAAAGGCUCACCUAGGCGACGAUCCCUAGCUGGUCUGAGAGGAUGAUCAGCCACACUGGGACUGAGACACGGCCCAGACUACUACGGAGGCAGCAGUGGGGAAUAUUGCACAAUGGGCGCAAGCCUGAUGCAGCCAUGCCGCGUGUGUGAAGAAGGCCUUAGGGUUGUAAAGUACUUUCAGCGGGGAGGCGUUACCCACAGAAGAAGCACCGGCUAACUCCGUGCCAGCAGCCGCGGUAAUAC
rnacentral:rRNA from 1 species